GACCAACUGGGUAGGACAGCUGGGCUGGGGACAAUUAAGCUCUGUUCACGUUCAGAGAAGAAUCAGGCUGUGCUAGCGGCAUAAUUAGCAUUGUGCUCAGAGGAACUGCCGCCCAUUGGAGGAGCAGACAGGCCUGGGCUGAGAAAAGGGCCUGGGGCUGCCCGGGGUGUCAGCAGGGAUUUGGUCUAAGGAUGCAUCCUGUCCCUAUCUGCCGCUGGCUUUUGCUGAAGAUUCUCUGUGCUAGGCAUGCCUUUUCCCAUUUUGGCUCCACUGACCAGAUCCCUUGAGACCAACUGCAAGAGCCUCCUCCAGGAAGCCUUCCCUGAUCUUCUACGACCUCUGUAGCCAGAAGACUCACCACUCCCAGCCUGGGGCAACUGUUGCUUCUACCUAGUUCUAGGUCUCCUCUAGCAUCUACCUAGAUUAGCUUUUCUUCAUAUUGCUCACACAGGAACUUGGGUCUGCCUAGCCCUCUUGGAAGACCUGAAGAUUGGAUUUGAAAGAAGGCAUGGCUUCCUGCUGGCUGGGGUGAGGCCACUUGGAAGGGCCUCUGUUUCCCAGAUGCAGCCCCCCAGCGAUAUAAAGCCUUGGAGCACAGCAAGUCCUGCAUCCAACUUCUGCAGGGAGCCUGAGGGGGUAGUAACAACUUUUCAUUCAUUCACUUGUUCAACAAGGAGGCACAGAUCCUGGACUCGUGGAUUUAUGAGUCUGGGAGGGAAGACAGGUGGUGCAUAAGCAGGUCAGCAUUUGGAACAGGCUGUAAAGUGAGACUGGCUGGAUUCUAACCCUGACUCAGCUGCCUCGCUGGUCAUGUUGCGCAAUACAGGCGACCUCUCUGUGUCUCAGUUUCCCUACCUGUGAAGUAGGAUAGUAAGAUUACCUCCCGCCAAGGGUAGCUGCAAGGGUUAAAGAAGAUGAUGUGGAAUAUUUAGGAUGAGCUCAGUCAGUGGUGGCUCUUGUUACUGAGUGAGCUGCAAGUGGCACAGCAGAGGGUGGGUGGGGUCAGUGAUGGAGAGGAGAGGAGGCUCAGGGACAGCUUCCUGGGAAGAAAGCUUUGAAGGUACAGCCAGGAGAGUGGGGUGAGGAGAGGAAAGGAGGGAAGGACACUGUGGACAGGGAGGAAGGUGAGCCUGGAGUGCUGAGAGAGGGCGGCAGGGUGAGGCUGAGCCCAGUUAGAAGGCUGGUGGAGAAUUCAGGGGAAAGGAGACAGUGGCCUAACCGAGUCGUGGAGAGGGAGAAAAGUGGUGGCCAGACUCAAAAAUCUGCAAGAGCUGCUGCUCACAGACCCUGGGAACUGGCAGCAGGGUCGGGGUUCGUGUGAGUCAGGCAUGGCCUCGGGUCUGUAGCCAGCACAGCCUGGAGGUCCUCUGCUGGGAGGAGGUGCAGGCUUGGGGAGCAGAAGACGGGUUCCACUAGGACCCUUAGAGUUUGAGGGGCCGGUGGGCAGGCCGGGGGAGGUGUCAGGGAGAUGUGCCCACGACUGGAGAUGCAGAUCUGGAGUUUGUGCAGGUCACAUUUGGGGGCUGCUGCUGUCCUUGAUUCUGCCUGUGACCCACACAGGCUUCGGGUCCUGUCCUGGGGGCCCCACCCUGGCUCCUGGCCAGCCGUCGCUGCCUGUUCCCUGGCAAAUCCCUCUACCUCUCCAUGUGUCUGGUUAAGGGGCCAUCCAAUCAGUGAAGCUUUGGAGAAGGCCAUAAAGGUGAACACAGCGCCUGAGGGAAGGCUCCUACACUAAACUCUGGCAUUGGCCCUGAGGGAGACAGAGGUUUUGGGGUCACGCACAUACCUUGAGCCACCCAAGUGUGUGCAGCUACAGCCUCAAGCACAGACAUGCUGUCUGUGUUGUGCUUUCUAUGUAGCUUGAAAGGGGACUCGUUUCGGGGGGACACAAAAAUCCAUCUUUAUGUUUCCUCAGAUUUUCUCCAGCACCUGCCUGUGCAAGCGCCCAGGUGAGACAUGGUCCAGGUGGGCCGGUGCCGAGAGGCUUAUGUGAGGCCUGGGCCGCCCAACGCGCUCAGCUCGGAGGGCACUGGCUUGGGAAGGCGGGGCACCUGCCUUCCCACAGGCAUUCACCCGGGAUGAAAGUUCAGUGCAGGCUCCAGUUCCUAUGUGAGUGUCCCCCCAGCCCACGGGCUGUGGAUGUGCUGGGUGUUGGGAGAGAUGCAGGAGGAACAAGCAGGUGCUUCUCCGGCCCAGACCUCGGCCCUCCCCAGCGCUCAAGGUGCUCCUCCUCCUCUGAGUUCCUGCAUCGCUGAGAAUUUGGACUCCGGAUGUGACAUGAGCAGCAGCCUUGGUGGCCUCUGAGUGGGGAAGUGUGCCAGGCCCCUGCUAAGUGCUUGGUGAGCCUUAAACAGCCUUGUCCUCGCCCCCACCCUGUAGGCAGGUGCCAAUGUCCCCUUGCUCUAGGGAGGGGCUCUGGUGAGCACGGGGACGAGGAUUUGGAUCUGAGGCCAUGAGGUUCUUGUUCCUCCCAUUACCAAUGUGUGUAUGGGAGUCCCCGGGAAAGAGGUCCCCAGCUGGGGGUCCCCAGCCCCUGGGCAUUGCCCACCCAUGGCUUGGAUGGGAGACAGGAGGAGCAAGAAGAGAUCCCCAAUCCUUGGCAGCUGGCAAUCUCUGGGCUUCACUCAUUUGCCCCCAGGCCAGGCAGUGCAGGCUUCACUGUCAAACCCUGGCUGCCUCAGCUCCCUGCCCUUCCCCUCUCCUUAACAGCCCAAACGUGGGUAGGACGCAGGACUAGUAGCUGACAAUUUCCCAGGGUGUCCCAGUGGCCCUGGUGGGUGGGGGGCUUGCUGGGAAGGGAUAAUGACCGACAGCUCCCACACCAGUCCUCUCUCCGGACCUGGUCCAACAUGUCCCACUUGAUCCUCACAUAGCCCCAUUGCUGCUUUACAGGCCACGCCGGAGGGUGGAGAUCAGAUAAUCUCCAGUAUGCCCAAGGCCACUCAGGGGGGUCAGGGAGCUGAUUCCCAAAUCCAGGAAUCUGUCUGAAAAGUUUGGUGCUCCCUUCUGCACUGCUCUUAUAGACGUGGGAUCCUUCAGCUUUCGCGGGAGCAUGGAUCCUUUUGAGGAUCCUGAUGAAAAUCUGCACCUCUCCCAGAAAAAUGCACCUCUACACAGGUUCACAGACAUCUGCAUACAAUUUCAGGGUUCUCAGACCCUGAAAGCCACCAAGGACCCCAAGUACAUAAGCCUUACACAGCACAACCUAAAUUGUCAAUGGCAGUGUCUCAGGAGGGCAGGACAGUGACCACCUCUGUGAGGCCAUCAGCACAGCUAUGGCUGCACAUGCUGUCUGAAGGAUCAGGUGGCCUUUUCCUGUGGCUUUUGAGGCUGAGGCUGAGUACCCUUGUGGCGGAUGCAUAACGCCAGGAUGGCCAAUAAAGACACCAUAAAAGUUCCCAACCGUGUGCCUGACACUGGACAGAUUUAAUCUCCAGGUCUUCUGGGAACCCCGCAGAGUUAGGGGUUGUUUUCUCAUUUUACUGAUGGAGACUGAGGCUUACGGAAGAGAAUUUGUUUCAAGUCCCCGCCAGUACUAUGAACAUGGGAUUUGAAAUCAUGCAAGUCUGACAUGCAGACCUCGGUUCUUUCUAUUUUCCCUUCUCACGGAGGGGGCUUUGUGCUUCCUGGAGGCCGACAGGGAGUUUCUCUAACGUAGGUUGGAGUGGUCAGAAGGGAGCGAACUGACAGCACGAGGAAGGCUCAGCGCAAGCCAGCUCCAUUCAUGGGAAGUGACUCACUGCAGCCCUGCCGCUCUCGGGCUCCAGGGGACACAUACACAUUUCCUGUGUCUCGGCCAGGGCCUUGGGCAGUGUGAGCUGGCAGGGCAGAUCGCUGAAGGCGGCUAGAGAUACAAAACCACCCAGCUCUGCAUUCUGAGACAAAGAAGCCUCUCCCUGGGCUCAUAUGACAGAGCUAUGUUGCCUCUGGACCUCAGUUUUGCUGUCUGUAAAAUGGGGAGAAGGUCAGACUAGAUUGGGCAUAUUCAGUGUGGGAUCCCCCUAAGGACAGCAACAGCGGCACCUGGGAAACUGCAAAUUCUCCUUUAUGACAGUGGCUCUCAAACUUUAACAUGCAUCAGAAUCAUCUAGAGGGUAGUUUCUCACUCGAGAACCACAUAGUGAGAUCAGGGAUCCGUGAACUACAGUCCACAGGCCAAAUCUGCUUUUUAUGGUCCAUGAGCUAAGAAUAGUUUUUCCAUUUUUCAGUGGUUGGGGAAAAAAAAAUCAAAGAAGAAUAU